rnacentral:rRNA from 1 species
AUUGAACGCUGGCGGCAUGCUUUACACAUGCAAGUCGAACGGUAACAGGUUAAGCUGACGAGUGGCGAACGGGUGAGUAAUGCAUCGGAACGUGCCCGGUCGUGGGGGAUAACGCAGCGAAAGCUGCGCUAAUACCGCAUACGAUCUGAGGAUGAAAGCGGGGGACCGUAAGGCCUCGCGCGAUCGGAGCUGCCGAUGUCAGAUUAGGUAGUUGGUGGGGUAAAGGCUCACCAAGCCGACGAUCUGUAGCUGGUCUGAGAGGACGACCAGCCACACUGGGACUGAGACACGGCCCAGACUCCUGCGGGAGGCAGAAGUGGGGAAUUUUGGACAAUGGGCGCAAGCCUGAUCCAGCAAUGCCGCGUGCAGGAAGAAGGCCUUCGGGUUGUAAACUGCUUUUGUACGGAGCGAAAAGGCUCUCUCUAAUACAGGGGGCUCAUGACGGUACCGUAAGAAUAAGCACCGGCUAACUACGUGCCAGCCGCCGCAGUAA